rnacentral:rRNA from 1 species
UACAGAGGUCUCAAGCGUUGUUCGGAUUCAUUGGGCGUAAAGGGUGCGUAGGUGGCGUGGCAAGUCUGAUGUGAAAUCCCGGGGCUCAACCCCGGAACUGCAUUGGAUACUGCCAUGCUAGAGCGCUGGAGAGGAGACUGGAAUUUACGGUGUAGCAGUGAAAUGCGUAGAUAUCGUAAGGAAGACCAGUGGCGAAGGCGAGUCUCUGGACAGCCGCUGACACUGAGACGCGAAAGCGUGGGGAGCGAACAGG